rnacentral:rRNA from 1 species
AAGCUACUAAGAGCGAAUGGUGGAUGCCUUGACUGGUAAAGGCGAUGAAGGACGUACUAGACUGCGAUAAGCUACGGGGAGCUGUCAAGAAGCUUUGAUCCGUAGAUUUCCGAAUGGGGCAACCCAAUGUAUAGAGAUAUACAUUACCUAUAUAGGAGCGAACGAGGGGAAUUGAAACAUCUUAGUACCCUCAGGAAAAGAAAUCAAUAGAGAUUGCGUCAGUAGCGGCGAGCGAAAGCGCAAGAGGGCAAACCCAGUGCUUGCACUGGGGGUUGUAGGACUGCAAUGUGCAAGAGGUAAGUUUAGCAGAACAUUCUGGAAAGUAUAACCAUAGAGGGUGAUAGUCCCGUAUGCGAAAAACAAACCUUAGCUAGCAGUAUCCUGAGUAGGGCGGGACACGAGGAAUCCUGUCUGAAUCCGGGUCGACCACGAUCCAACCCUAAAUACUAAUACCAGAUCGAUAGUGCACAAGUACCGUGAGGGAAAGGUGAAAAGAACUGAGGUGAUCAGAGUGAAAUAGAACCUGAAACCAUUUGCUUACAAUCAUUCAGAGCCCUAUGUAGCAAUACAGGGUGAUGGACUGCCUUUUGCAUAAUGAGCCUGCGAGUUGUGGUGUCUGGCAAGGUUAAGCAAACGCGAAGCCGUAGCGAAAGCGAGUCUGAAUAGGGCGCUUAGUCAGAUGCUGCAGACCCGAAACGAAGUGAUCUAUCCAUGAGCAAGUUGAAGCUAGUGUAAGAACUAGUGGAGGACUGAACCCAUAGGCGUUGAAAAGCCCCGGGAUGACUUGUGGAUAGGGGUGAAAGGCCAAUCAAACUUCGUGAUAGCUGGUUCUCUCCGAAAUAUAUUUAGGUAUAGCGUUGUGUCGUAAUAUAAGGGGGUAGAGCACUGAAUGGGCUAGGGCAUACACCAAUGUACCAAACCCUAUCAAACUCCGAAUACCUUAUAUGUAAUCACAGCAGUCAGGCGGCGAGUGAUAAAAUCCGUCGUCAAGAGGGAAACAACCCAGACUACCAGCUAAGGUCCCUAAAUCUUACUUAAGUGGAAAACGAUGUGAAGUUACUUAAACAACCAGGAGGUUGGCUUAGAAGCAGCCAUCCUUUAAAGAAAGCGUAAUAGCUCACUGGUCUAGUGAUUUUGCGCGGAAAAUAUAACGGGGCUAAAGUAAGUACCGAAGCUGUAGACUUGCACACAACUUAGAUUAUUUAAGUUUAGAAUAUGAGAAACUAAGUUAUAUGUUUAGUUAUAUUUUUACUGAUUUUUAUAGAGUAAAGAUAGAAAUAAAACUUAGUAAAAUCAGUAAAAAUAUUCUUAGACUAAAGUUAAGUAGUUUAAGUUGUGUGCAAGUGGUAGGAGAGCGUUCUAUUUGCGUCGAAGGUAUACCGGUAAGGAGUGCUGGAGCGAAUAGAAGUGAGCAUGCAGGCAUGAGUAGCGAUAAUUAAUGUGAGAAUCAUUAACGCCGUAAACCCAAGGUUUCCUACGCGAUGCUCGUCAUCGUAGGGUUAGUCGGGUCCUAAGUCGAGUCCGAAAGGGGUAGACGAUGGCAAAUUGGUUAAUAUUCCAAUACCAACAUUAGUGUGCGAUGGAAGGACGCUUAGGGCUAAGGGGGCUAGCGGAUGGAAGUGCUAGUCUAAGGUCGUAGGAGGUUGUACAGGCAAAUCCGUAUAACAAUACUCCGAGAACUGAAAGGCUUUUUGAAGUCUUCGGAUGGAUAGAAGAACCCCUGAUGCCGUCGAGCCAAGAAAAGUUUCUAAGUUUAGCUAAUGUUGCCCGUACCGUAAACCGACACAGGUGGGUGGGAUGAGUAUUCUAAGGCGCGUGGAAGAACUCUCUUUAAGGAACUCUGCAAAAUAGCACCGUAUCUUCGGUAUAAGGUGUGGUUAGCUUUGUAUUAGGAUUUACUCCGAAAGCAAGGAAACUUACAACAAAGAGUCCCUCCCGACUGUUUACCAAAAACACAGCACUCUGCUAACUCGUAAGAGGAUGUAUAGGGUGUGACGCCUGCCCGGUGCUCGAAGGUUAAUUGAUGGGGUUAGCAUUAGCGAAGCUCUUGAUCGAAGCCCGAGUAAACGGCGGCCGUAACUAUAACGGUCCUAAGGUAGCGAAAUUCCUUGUCGGUUAAAUACCGACCUGCAUGAAUGGCGUAACGAGAUGGGAGCUGUCUCAAAGAGGGAUCCAGUGAAAUUGUAGUGGAGGUGAAAAUUCCUCCUACCCGCGGCAAGACGGAAAGACCCCGUGGACCUUUACUACAGCUUGACACUGCUACUUGGAUAAGAAUGUGCAGGAUAGGUGGGAGGCUUUGAGUAUAUGACGCCAGUUGUAUAUGAGCCAUUGUUGAGAUACCACUCUUUCUUAUUUGGGUAGCUAACCAGCUUGAGUUAUCCUCAAGUGGGACAAUGUCUGGUGGGUAGUUUGACUGGGGCGGUCGCCUCCCAAAUAAUAACGGAGGCUUACAAAGGUUGGCUCAGAACGGUUGGAAAUCGUUCGUAGAGUAUAAAGGUAUAAGCCAGCUUAACUGCAAGACAUACAAGUCAAGCAGAGACGAAAGUCGGUCUUAGUGAUCCGGUGGUUCUGUGUGGAAGGGCCAUCGCUCAAAGGAUAAAAGGUACCCCGGGGAUAACAGGCUGAUCUCCCCCAAGAGCUCACAUCGACGGGGAGGUUUGGCACCUCGAUGUCGGCUCAUCGCAUCCUGGGGCUGGAGCAGGUCCCAAGGGUAUGGCUGUUCGCCAUUUAAAGCGGUACGCGAGCUGGGUUCAGAACGUCGUGAGACAGUUCGGUCCCUAUCUGCCGUGGGCGUAAGAAGAUUGAAGAGAUUUGACCCUAGUACGAGAGGACCGGGUUGAACAAACCACUGGUGUAGCUGUUGUUCUGCCAAGAGCAUCGCAGCGUAGCUAAGUUUGGAAAGGAUAAACGCUGAAAGCAUCUAAGCGUGAAGCCAACUCUAAGAUGAAUCUUCUCUAAGCUCUCUAGAAGACUACUAGUUUGAUAGGCUGGGUGUGUAAUGGAUGAAAGUCCUUUAGCUGACCAGUACUAAUAGAGCGUUUGGCUUAUCU